rnacentral:rRNA from 1 species
UACGGAGGGUGCAAGCGUUAGUCCGGAUUCACUGGGUUUAAAGGGUGCGUAGGUGGGCAGGUAAGUCAGUGGUGAAAUCUCCGAGCUUAACUCGGAAACUGCCGUUGAUACUAUUUGUCUUGAAUAUUGUGGAGGUAAGCGGAAUAUGUCAUGUAGCGGUGAAAUGCUUAGAUAAUGGACAUAGAACACCAAUUGCGAAAGGCAGCUUACUACACAACGAUUGACGCUGAGGCACGAAAGCGUGGGGAUCAAACAGGG